rnacentral:lncRNA from 1 species
AGCUGCCGUUUCCAAUUGACCAGUGUGAUCAUUCCUAUUUCAACCCACCAUUCUCAGGCCCUGCUGUGGACCUGAGAACAGCUUCAGUGACAAACUCUCCCUGUGUCCUCUAUUUCAGCCCUCCUGGUGAUUGGCUGCUGACUCUCUGAUCCUAUUCUGGUCCUUUGGAACACUCUGAGGUUGCAUUCAUGGACUCUCAUCUCUUGCUGCAGAGCACUGCUUCAUGCUCUUGUGAUACUUUGCUGCUUUUAUGUGCUAAAGCGGAGAAUUAUAAGAGAGAUUAUAAGUGAGAUUUCCAACGUUGUGCUGGCAGAGCAAAGAAUGAGUGUGGAGCUGUGCUUACCUAAUGAACCCCCAUGUGGCAGGAGGAGGUCCUGUGGCCCACAGCUGCCUGGUGAUGUGCAAAAAGCAAAUUGCUGUCACUGCAGAGGUGCUGAGAGUGACUUCUGGAAGCCCUAUGCAUCUGGUAACUAAAACGCCAUAAGGAUUUCUCAUAAUGAUAGCUAACAGUUUUCUAGCCAAAAGGCAUUUUGGCCAAAACAAACCCCAA